UGAAGAGCAUAGCAAUUUUCCUUGCUUUCUUGGAAUGUGUAAUAGUUACCAGUUUAAAUAAACAAAAUGGGAUCAGUUUAUCUUUGAAUGCACCAAAUAAGAUACCAAUUCGUGGUUUCUUAUUAGAUAAUAAUGAUGACAAGGUUUCAUCUUCGAUAUUGAAAUCGAUUGAAAAAAUGAUGAAAUCCCAACAGGUCCAAUUAAACAAAAUAAAAGCAGCUUCGAAGAAUAAUAACCACAGCGUUUACGCAAUUAAAUCCAAGCUCACAGAUUUUAGUAAAGCGGUCAAUGGUUCGAUUAAAAAGGUGAAGGAUUCUCAACAGGACCAGUUUAACAAAAUAUUAGCUGCUUCGAAGGUUAAUAGCCACAGCGUUUAUGCAGUUAAAUCCAAGCUCACAGAUCUUAUGAAAGCGGUCCAUGUUUCGAUUAAAAAAGUGAAGGAUUCUCAACAGGACCAGUUGAAUAAAAUAAUAGCAGCUUCGAACGACAAUAGCCACAGCGUUUCUGCAGUAAAAUCAAAAUUUACAGAUCUUAGUAAAGCGGUCCAUGGUUCGAUUAAAAAAAUGAUGAAUUCCCAACAGGACCAAUUGAACAAAAUAAUAGCAGUUUCGAAAAACAAUAGCCACAGCGUUUCUGCUAUUAAAUCAAAACUAACACAUCUUAGUACAGCGGUCCAUGGUUCGAUUAAAAAAGUGAUGGAUUCCCAACAGGACCAAUUGAACAAAAUAAAAACAGUUUCGACGAAUAAUAGCCAUAGCGUUUCUGCUGUUGAAUCAAAGUUCACCGAUCUUAGUAAAGUGGUUCAUGGUUCUAUUAAGAAAGUGAAGGAUUCCCAAAAGGACCAGUUUAACAAAAUAUUAGCUGCUUCGAAGGUUAAUAGCCACAGCGUUUCUGCAGUUUAAUCCAAGCUCACAGAUCUAAGGAAAGCGGUCCAUGGUUCGAUUAAAAAAGUGAAGGAUUCCCAACAGGACCAAUUGAACAAAAUAAUAGCAGCUUCGAAGGUUAAUAGCAACAGUGUUUCUGCAGUUAAAUCCAAGCUCACAGAUCUUAGUAAAGCGGUCCAUGGUUCGAUUAAAAAAGUGAUGGAUUCCCAACAAGACAAAUUGAAGAAAAUAAUAGCAGCUUCGAAGGAUAAUAGCCACAGCGUAUCUGCAAUUAAAUCAAAGCUCACAGAUCUUAGUAAAGCGAUAAAUGGUUUGAAAAAAGCAACUAAGAAAUUUGAAUACAUUGGAUGUUACAAAGAUGACAGUGCCAGACAUCUCAAACAUAAAAUUUAUAGCUUUGGGAGUUCUAUAACCUUAGCUAAAUGUCGUGAACAUUGCAAAUGAUAUAAAUACACAGGCUUGCAGUUUAGUACAUACUGUUUGUGUGGAAAUAUACUAGAAAACAAAAAGUAUCCAAAAGUAGCGGAAUCAAACUGUAACAUGGCAUGUGUUGGAGAAUCUAAACGAAUGUGCGGAGCUAGCAUGACAAACUCGAUAUAUCUAGUCAAACCGUUAGUGAGAUGAGUAAAAGACACAGAGGAUCAGCAUCAAAAUAAAAUAAUUGCAAUUUAA